rnacentral:rRNA from 1 species
GACGAACGCUGGCGGCGUGCUUAACACAUGCAAGUCGAACGGAAAGGCCCUGCUUUUGUGGGGUGCUCGAGUGGCGAACGGGUGAGUAACACGUGAGUAACCUGCCCUUGACUUUGGGAUAACUUCAGGAAACUGGGGCUAAUACCGGAUAGGAGCUCCUGCUGCAUGGUGGGGGUUGGAAAGUUUCGGCGGUUGGGGAUGGACUCGCGGCUUAUCAGCUUGUUGGUGGGGUAGUGGCUUACCAAGGCUUUGACGGGUAGCCGGCCUGAGAGGGUGACCGGCCCAAUGGGGACUGAGAUACGGCCCAGACCCCUAGGGGGGGCAGCGGGGGGAAAUUUUGCACAAGGGGGGGAAGCCUGAGGCAGCAACGCCGGGUGGGGGAGGACGGCCUUCGGGUUGUAAACCGCUUUCGCCUGUGACGAAGCGUGGGUGACGGUAAUGGGUAAAGAAGCACCGGCUACCUACUU